rnacentral:misc_RNA from 1 species
GACACCACUCGCCCCCCCUCUCUUCUCCCGUUCCCCGUAACAAGGGUCGUGGGCAAGAGAUCGCGGGGCGGACUCUGAGUGUUCCGGAGCUUACCCAUGCUCCGAGUGCACCUAAUCUCGUGAACGAAGCCUCUCGCGCCCUGCCGCACAGAGUUGUUGACGGCGCUCGCUUCGGCGGCGACUCUCGACUCACCAAACGUGCGCAGGAUGCGGGGCCUCAUUCCGGCGCUCCAGAACUUUAACGUGAUGGAAACCGUACCACUUUCG